UUCUUUGGGCCGCUCCCGCGGCAUAUGGAGGUUCCCAGGCUAGGGGUCGAAUCGGAGCUGUAGCCACCAGCCUACACCACAGCCACAGCAACGCGGGAUCCGAGCCGCGUCUGCGACCUACACCGCAGCUCAUGGCAACGCCGGAUCGUUAACCCACUGAGCAAGGGCAGGGACCGAACCCGCAACCUCAUGGUUCCUGGUGGGAUUCGUUAACCACUGCGCCACGACGGGACCUCCGCAUCACGCAUUUCUAUGCUGGAAGAUUCAUUCUGAGAGUAGCUGACAUUUAUCUCCAACCGAACCCCAGACAAAUUACCCACCAUCCUCUCUCCUAUCACAUCAGCCCACGCGUGGCCUGCUCAGCGGUACUCCCCACAAAAGUGAACUCGUUUGUUGUACAAAUUUCCGCACUUGUAAAUGCACUUAUCAUACUGGGCUCCCUCAAUGAGACUGAGUAAUAUAUUCGCUCUGCUCAUAUUUUCAUUAACAUUCAAAACCGUCCUUCCGUCUUACGGUCUUGGUAAAACCUUCUGGCUUUUGAGUCCCAGAUAACUACCAGAGGGUCCUGGGAAGCGAUGCCUGGCCUUGCUAACAAAGACACACAAAAUCGUCUCCUGGACCAGCUGAGACGGACGACUGCAGAGGGAAAGAAAGACCCCAUCUUCCCUCUCCGCCUGCCCUGGGGUACGGAGGGCUUUAUCUGUGCCUGCCCGGGGGUCAAUCAGAGAAACAGCCGAAGUCACAAGGCCGUUGACCUCCCACGUCCGGGAUUUUUCGAAUUCAGUAUCGGAAGCAGGAAGAGAACGUCACGCCUUGUUCCUUAAAAAAAUUCCUGCCUUAACGUGCCUCCACCACAAGAUUUCUCAUCGUUAAACAGAAAAGGGGGGAGGUGACCCCCCGUACAGCCUGCAAACUGAAGCUGAGACAGACCCCUUCACGCAGUCUUUGAUUUCAAUGCCCUGCACGUGUACCACGUAUCACUUGUCCUCUGAACACACGAAACGCUGACCAGCGGGGGAGAGAGAAGGAAGGAGAAGAGGGGCCCUCGAGGAAAGCGGGUCCACGCGCACCGAUUCCCUGCUUUGUGGAGCGGACCGCCCAGCUCUGGAAAUCAAGGGGUCUUUUGUAAGUGGCCCAACUUUCCGGAGCAGCGCGGCGCCCCCACCUCUAGCUGCCGUAACCUCUUUGUCGGAAGGUGUCAAAGCGGGGACACCGAGCGGCCGCCUGAGCGCUAUCGGGCGAUCGGGGGUCCACCUCUGUGCUACGCCCACCGCUAAUUCAUCACGGCCCCGACAGCUGGGCUGAUUGCUGGCCUCGCUGCACAAAGCGGCCCGGCUGACCAGCCCUCGGCCCGGCCGGGGCGGGCUGCCGGCUGGGGCUCCAGCGGCCCGAGAUAAGUGCUGGCUGUCAGCGCAAGGACAAAGAAGGGCAGGCCCUGGGGAGAGAAAGGAGAUAGAAAAAACCUCCUCACAACUGCUUUAUCUGAUGAGGGUUAUGGCUAAUUAAUUAUAAACUCAAUUACCUAACCCUUACUUCAGCAGUCUCUAUUCAUUAAGAGAGAAAAACUUGACUGACGGCUAACUUUCUCCCGAGCCCAUCCGCACGCGGCCGGCCGGCCGGCUUCCAUUCGUCCUCCCCGACGCCCCACUUCCUAAAAAGACCUCGGAAGGCAUCCACACCUGUCAGGCGCUUGUCACAGCUGGCCGGGUUGGGGUCCCCCCCCCUUCACAGGCCGGGAGGGCCCGGCGCCCCCCAGACCCCAGACAAUAGGCGUUCACUGCCCCUGUGCCCCUGGUCUCUGCAGCAUCGAGAGCGGAGCCUUGCAUCUGGGCGCUCAAACUGGGGGACGGGACGCAGAACGGGUUUCCUCUUCCCCAGUGAGCCUCCCCAGUCAGGAAAAGCGGAGAGAGGGGCAGGCAGGCUCUUCUUCUCUUUACAUAUCAAUUUCCACUUCCCCCCGAAAUUCUGGCCAGGCCUGACCUUCUUUUCAGCGGCUCCGGGCUCGUUUCAGAGCCGGCAGCCGCGCACAGGCCCGCUUCAUCAAUAGGCUCUAUUCAGCCAAGGUUGUUAAUCUCUUUCACCCGCUCCGCUUUGCCCACUUUAAUGUAUUUUCAUGUCUAUAAGUUCUUUUAAUAAGCUGGGAGGGUCUGGGAGAGAAAUACUUCAGGUUUCCUUACUGCUCGUCGCCAAAAUCGCCUCUGGCGUCCGCGGACACGCCGAGCUGGCCGUGCGUCCCCGCAGCCGCCUGCUCGUUCCUUCCUGGGAGGGGACCGGGCCCCCGGCUGGCAGAUCGGCCGGCUCUGCCGCCCCAGGGCGCUCAGGACACGCUCCCCACACCCCUCUGCCUCCUGGUUCACAUGCUCCUGCACGUGGACCUCCGGGCGGCCUCCUGGGUGUUCAGGGCACUGGGGCGGACGCCUGGGCAGAGCCCCCGCACCGCCCCGAGCACGCUGCCCUCAGCUGCAGAUGCGUCACGGUGGGGAGACCCAGGGCCGCUGCUGGCGAGGCGGUGACAAGCACGCACGGCACACACCGCCCCCAACCCAGCGUGGUCGUCGAUACCCUCGGCCUUGGCCUUGGCCUCCAGGUGGCCCUGCCUUGGGUGUUCACUGCUGUGUGUCCUCUCAGCCCAGACCCACAGCGUCUGGGGAGCCUCUCUUGGCCUCGGCAGUGACAGUGGCAGGGCCUGGGAUGUCCCCGCCAGUCAGGACUGUCUGACGGGUGCUGAGCACUGCUGGCCCCGGCGUUCCAGGCCAGGCUGCAGCUCAGGGACCUGGAGAGGCUGGUGGGUGGGCCCAAGGACACCUAGGGACCAGGACUCCUGGGCACAGGAGAGUCCUAUAAACUCUGUGUGUAGAGUCCCAGGAGUCCUCUGUGCAGCCCACCCUCUGCCUGGGAGCCUCCCCCCCUUGAGUAUGGGGAGUGAGGGGACGCUGUGCAUGGUGACAGUGGCGGUGACAGUGGCUGUGCCAGGUGGACGACCCCAAGUCAGGGACUUGCACUGCCACUGACUUGCCAAACACCCCUGGGCGGCACCCCCUGCCCACAGCAGGCGAUGGUGUCCCCAAGUGACCUGCAAGCCCACAGGGCCUCUGGAAUGGACUUGACACCAGUGGGCUGUGGGGCGGCCCCGGCACUCCCCGACCUCACUGUACAGUCAGCAUCUUUUCAGGUCCACGAGGGCCUGGUGUGCAGAGACGGCAUGCACGUGAAGGGUGAUAUAAAGGUGAACAUUCCCUGCAAAGCGGCUCGCUCCCCGGGAACACACAGCAGAGCCUCCAAGUUGCUGGAAGUGCUUCCCGUUGGAGGCCUUCCUGCCAGCGGCCUCAAGGGAAGAGGGAACACCUGGGCGUGACUUUCCCACGUGGCCCCUGAAUGACUUCGCUGCAGCAGAGCCCGCAGCACAGGUGUGGGGCCCAAGGAAGCCAGAUGAUUAUUUUCAGAACUUGAGAAAGAGUGCUACCUUUCUUUUUUUCUUUUUUCGCUUUUUAGGGCCAUACUUGCAGCACAUGGAGGUUCCCAGGCCAGGGGUUGAAUUGGAGCUGCAG
rnacentral:lncRNA from 1 species